UACGUAGGGCGCGAGCGUUGUCCGGAUUUAUUGGGCGUAAAGAGCUCGUAGGCGGCUUGUUGCGUCGACCGUGAAAACCCGGGGCUCAACUUCGGGCUUGCGGUCGAUACGGGCGGGCUAGAGUUCGGUAGGGGAGACUGGAAUUCCUGGUGUAGCGGUGAAAUGCGCAGAUAUCAGGAGGAACACCGGUGGCGAAGGCGGGUCUCUGGGCCGUAACUGACGCUGAGGAGCGAAAGCGUGGGGAGCGAACAGG
rnacentral:rRNA from 1 species